CCUACGGGCGGCAGCAGUGAGGAAUAUUGGUCAAUGGCCGGGAGCCUGAACCAGCCAAGUAGCGUGAAGGAUGACAGCCCUAUGGGUUGUAAACCUCUUUUAUAAGGGAAUAAAGUGCAGCUCGGGUGCUGUUGUGAGAGUACCUUAAGAAAAAGCAUCGGCUAAUUCCGUGCCAGCAGCCGCGGUAAUACGGAAGAUGCGAGCGUUAUCCGGAUUUAUUGGGUUUAAAGGGUGCGUAGGCGGUUCCAUAAGUCAGCGGUAAAAUCGUGGGGCUCAACCGUACCGGGCCGUUGAAACUGUGGGCCUUGAGUGUGCGCAGGGUAGAUGGAAUGCGUGGUGUAGCGGUGAAAUGCAUAGAUAUCACGAAGAACUCCGAUCGCGAAGGCAGUCUACCGGCGCAAGACUGACGCUGAGGCUCGAAAGUGCGGGUAUCGAACAGGAUUAGAUACCCGGGUAGUC
rnacentral:rRNA from 1 species